rnacentral:lncRNA from 1 species
AGCAAUAUUUGUCGCUUCCUCACCCCUAUGCCACCUCUGAAGCAUAUCUUCAAGCUGCUCAAAAUUAGUGAUAAGGAGAAGCCAAGGCCACCUAAGCUGAGCUCAUUGAUAGACCUCCCUUGAUUAUGGACAUAACAUGAAGAGAUGGUCCUUAUCCUUAGAAGACGUACGAUUGCAGGGGCAGCUAGCAUCACCAAGACAUCUAGGACUCAACUUCAAUCAUGUAGGCAAAGGUCACCAGCACAUGAAUGCUUUUAAAAGAAAGAAAUAGAAGUAUUUAGACAUAAAGAAACUAUGUCCAUUAUGAAUCAUGAUGCAAUACUUUUAUGUAUCAGGUAUAUGUGCAAUUAUUAAACUUUAUGACUUGAUUCACCUUAAAUGACCAAGUUCUUUUACAUAUCCAGAGUGCGCUCAAAACUUUAAAUGCUAAUCUUGCUCUUCCUCUUCACCCUUUUUCUAAAAAAGCUAUUUCUACCUUUAUUGCUCUUCCUUUCUUUUGCUCCUUGGUGCCAUAUGAAUUUGAGUCCAAAUUGGCCUAAUCUCUUAUACCAUUUUUUCAAGUUCAUCACACCCUCACCUUUUACCAUCAUUCUUCCAAAACCACAGCCAAUAUACAAUCUCUUCUCUUAUUCCUCUUUUCUCCUUUGUGGCCUCAUGAUCUCCUCUUCAUGCAUACAACAGUUUCAAUUUAAGGUUUGC